UACGUAGGGCGCAAGCGUUAUCCGGAAUUAUUGGGCGUAAAGGGUGCGUAGGCGGCGCGGUAAGUCGGGUGUGAAAUCUCGGAGCUUAACUCCGAAACUGCAUUCGAUACUGCCGUGCUUGAGGACUGGAGAGGAGACUGGAAUUUACGGUGUAGCGGUGAAAUGCGUAGAUAUCGUAAGGAAGACCAGUGGCGAAGGCGGGUCUCUGGACAGUUCCUGACGCUGAGGCACGAAGGUCAGGGGAGCAAACGGG
rnacentral:rRNA from 1 species